CUAACGUCACUCUGUCAUUGUCCGCCUUUUCAUCCUUUUUGUUUUCUCUUGGCGACCUAUAGGAUGCUGACGCGCUCGCUGCUGUGUCGCACGUCGUUGCAGAGCCGUCGCCGGUGGGAGCAGCGCAUUGUGUCAGUGCUCUCCGAGAACAAGGAGGAGGGCGUCGAUGCGGUGGCGAAACGCUUCCAGCGAGUCUACAAGGAGCGCCGCUACACGCCCGUGGAGGAGGCGUUUCCACCCCUCGCUGCUGCCGCGGCCGCGCCUGGGCUGAGCUCUUCUGCCGCGAAAGCGAGCGUCGAGUCAGUGCAGCAGCCCGCCAACCCGCUCGUGCUGCGCGUUGCCUUCCUCGGGCCUCAAAACGCAGGAAAGACGUCCCUCGUUAAUUCCAUGGCGCUCAGCAAUGUUGGCGCCGUCAGCAACCGCUAUGGCAGCACCAAGGAUUGGACAAAGGCAGUCGCUACAGUACACGACACGCAGUUGCUCCUCCUCGACACACCGGGCAUUGUGCCGCGUGAUACGCAGCGCGUGCGGCGCAAGUUCGCCUCCGGCACGGCUAAGGCGUACGAUGCUCUGUUCGUGUCGGACCUCGUUGUCCUGGCUCUCCCCGUCGGCGUGGGAUUUGUCGAGAAGGAGCACAAGGUGGUCGCGACGGAGGUGGUACGCCGCGCCGCGGGCCGCGAGCUACCCGUGGUGGUCGCCAUGACAAUGAUGGACAAGGUUCAGACGCCGCGCCAUCGAGAGCUGUACUUUGCCAUGCGCACCGACCUUGAGUCUCUCGGGUUGCCGACUGCCGCGACGCACGAGGUCAGCGUCAAGGGCGGCAGUGGACUGGUGGAGCUGAAGGAUUGCCUCUGCCAGUACGCAAAGCCGGGGGCGUGGGAGCACUAUCGCCGCGAGGCGACGGAUUUGAAUCCACCGCAGCGCGUGGCGGAGCUGCUGCGGCAGACCUUCAUGGAGCUACUCCCGCACGAGAUUCCGCACUGCAUGCGACACCGGGUGCUGGGCUGGACGCGCAAGGAGUCAGGCACGACGGAGGUGGUGGUGGAGGUAUUCUUCGAUCGCCCUGCGUACAUGUUCACCUUCUACGGCAAGUUGGAGGCCAUCUGUCUGCGUGCACAGCAGGUGACGGAGCGCGAGCUGGCGCCGCAGCGGUUUCGUUUUGUUUUUCAGGCCUUCAUCGCCCCAGGCGGCCUCUCAAACUCGUGAGGUGUAAUUUGUCUGUGCAGCAGUUGGUGUGCGCUUCCUCCUUCCCCGUCUCCAGCGGCUCAGGCGAGGCGCCCUCACAGCUUUUCGCAGGUUCUGACAACGUGUGUGAGCUUCUGUGUGUGGGGGGUGGGUGGGUGGGUGAGUGGGUGAGCCCACGUCACCCGCUCUUCAUUUCUCGAAGCAUCGACCCAUGCAAAGAGACGGACGCUGGCAAGGUGGAAAAUCACGUUUGUGAAGUUCUCGGCAAAGACCUUCGUGGCGCGGCACACAGCGGCACCUCUGACGAGGAGAAGCAGCGCAGAGGGGCCCCGGAGGGGUAGGAGUGGGCAUCACGGAGUGCAACGACCGGUGUGGGGGGGAGGUAGAGAAGAGGGAAAAGCUCGCCGUGUCGUGUGUAGACUCAAACGCAGGCUUUGCUCUCUUUUACCCCCACUGCCAUCCGUCGAGAAACACAGACACACACACACACACACACACAGACAGCCGGGGACAAAUAGUCAUGUCCCACACCCCUCUUGCAGACGUGUUCCUUGUAACAUGGUAGCACAUGCGUCACCGUCUUUCAUCUUGGGCUGACCACUCGCUCGUCAUCUUCUCGUUCUCG
rnacentral:misc_RNA from 1 species